rnacentral:rRNA from 1 species
ACGAACGCUGGCGGCGUGCUUAACACAUGCAAGUCGAGCGGUAAGGCCCUUUCGGGGGUACACGAGCGGCGAACGGGUGAGUAACACGUGGGUGACCUGCCCUCAGCUCUGGGAUAAGCCCGGGAAACUGGGUCUAAUACCGGAUAUGACUCCAUGACGCAUGUUGUGGGGUGGAAAGCCUUGUGCGGCUGAGGAUGGGCCCGCGGCCUAUCAGCUUGUUGGUGGGGUGAUGGCCACCAAGGCGACGACGGGUAGCCGGCCUGAGAGGGCGACCGGCCACACUGGGACUGAGACACGGCCCAGACUCCUACGGGAGGCAGCAGUGGGGAAUCUUGCGCAAUGGGCGAAAGCCUGACGCAGCGACGCCGCGUGAGGGAUGACGGCCU